AUUGAACGCUGGCGGCGUGCCUAAUACAUGCAAGUCGAGCGAAGCGGGGACGGGUGAGUAACACAUGGAUAACCUCCUCUAAGAAUGGAAUAACGUCGGAAACCACGAGCAAAACGGGAUACUUAUAUAUCGCUCCUCGCUGCAUUAGCUAGUUGGUAAGUUAACGGCUUACAAAGGCCACGAUGCAUACCCGACCUGAGAGGGGGAUCGGCCACACUGGCACUGAGACACGGUCCAGACUCCUACGGGAGGCAGCAGUAGGGAAGAUUCCGCAAUGGGCGAAAGCCUGACGGAGCAACGCCGCGUGAGUGAUGAAGGUCUUCGGAUCGUAAAACUCUGUUAUUAGGGAAGCGGUACCUAAUCAGAAAGCCACGGCUAACUACGUGCCAGCAGCCGCGGUAAUAC
rnacentral:rRNA from 1 species